rnacentral:rRNA from 1 species
AAAGGAAUAGACGGGGGUCCGCACAAGCGGAGGAGCAUGUGGUUUAAUUCGAUGAUACGCGAGGAACCUUACCUAGGCUAGAAUGCGCGUGAAUGGCUCAGAAACGGGUCAGGCCCUUCGGGGACACAAAGCAAGGUGCUGCAUGGCUGUCGUCAGCUCGUGCCGUGAGGUGUUGGGUUAAGUCCCGCAACGAGCGCAACCCUUACCAUUAGUUGCCAUCAGGUUAAGCUGGGGACUCUAGUGGAACUGCCUGCGCAAGCAGAGAGGAAGGAGGGGACGACGUCAAGUCAUCAUGGCCUUUAUGCCUAGGGCUACACACGUGCUACAAUGGUUGGUACAGAGGGCAGCUACACAGCGAUGUGAUGCCAAUCUCAAAAAGCCAAUCUCAGUUCGGAUUGGAGUCUGCAACUCGGCUCCAUGAAGUCGGAUUCGCUAGUAAUCGCAGAUCAGCCAUGCUGCGGUGAAUACGUUCCCGGACCUUGUACACACCGCCCGU